CAGAGCUGCCCCACACAAACAAAUCAUGUGGAAAUUGGGCCACGAGUGAGGAGACGUGUGAAGGAAAGACAAAAGGAUGAUGCAAACUAGUGAACAGAGAUAGGAUAAGGCUGAGGGAGGUAAACAGUAGAUGAGAGAGAGAGCGUGUGGAUGUAAAGUGAGUGGAGCGUUUAUCUGCCGGCUGCCAACAGAUUUGUUUUUAAUGCCGUCAGCCUCUUUCUCUCUCCAUCUUCUGUUCCUCCCUUUCAUCUUCUUCCUCUUAGUCUACAGCCUCCAUACAGUUAUCCUCCUCCUCCUCCACCUGUCCUUGGCUGCCUGCAGUGAUCUGUGUUUUCAGCCCAUGGCGGUGAGGUCAGACGCUGUCAGUCCACUGCUGUUCAGGUUUUUUUAUUUUUUUUUAUUUUAGUCUUUAUUUAACCUUUAACUGGGGAAAGUCAAGACAGGAAAUGAGGUUGCUGGUUUUCAGAAUCACCUUUUUUCACCAAAGACGGGAGGAAGGCGUCUGAACAAGUGCACAAAUCAGGCUUUUAAUGUCCUUAAUGCAAUUAUUAAAGCUCCUAAUGCUACACUAACAGGUAAUAAGUAACUACAACCUUAAACCAUUUUAAUUUUUUUUUUUUUAGCCAAAACUAAGCAAAAGCAGUCUGUGAAAGCCUAAGUACACUUUAUGGUUCAGUAACUUGAGGCAACGACUGCAGAAUCUUGAUUUUUUCAUUUUUCAACCAUUCGAUUGUAGAUUUGCUGCUGUGCUUUUCAUCAGAAUCAGAAUCAGAAUCAGAAUACUUUAUUGAUCCCUGGGGGAAAUUAUUUUUUGUUACAGUGCUCCAUUUUAAACCAACAUUAAGACAAGACAGACAAUACGCUAACUAAGAAUAGUACAAUAUAUACAUAUAUAUACAUACAUACAUACAUAAGUCACUUAUAAAUAAAUAUUUGGAAAAGAAACAUGUGUAGUUGUAGCAGCAAACAGUGUGUUAAGUGGAUGCGUUGUACAGGGAGAUGGCCACAGGCAGGAAUGAUUUCCUGUGUCG
ensembl:lncRNA